GAUGAACGCUGGCGGCGUGCCUAAUACAUGCAAGUCGAGCGAACAGACGAGGAGCUUGCUCCUCUGACGCUAGCGGCGGACGGGUGAGAAACACGUGGAUCACCUACCUAUAAGACUGGGAUCACCUCGAGAAACCGGAUCUAACACCGGAUUAUAUAUUGAACAGCUUGGUUCAAUAGUGAAAGACUUUUUUGCUGUCACUUAUACAUGGAUCCGCGCCGCAUUAACUAGUUGGUAGGGUAACGGCUUACCAAGGCAACUAUGCGUAGCCGACCUGAGAGGGUGAUCGGCCACACGGGAACUGAGACACGGUCCAGACUCCUACGGGAGGCAGCAGUAGGGAAGCUUCGACAAUGGGCGAAAGCCUGACGGAGCAACGCCGCGUGAGUGAUGAAGGUCUUCGGAUCGUAAAACUCUGUUAUUAGGGAAGAACAAAAGUAUAAGUAACUAUGCACGUCUUGACGGUACCUAGUCAAAAAGCGACGGCUAACUACGUG
rnacentral:rRNA from 1 species